CUAAUAAAGAAAAAUAACAAUUAUAGUUAAAAAUGACACAUAAAAUCAUAAAUUGUAAUGCCUUUACUCCAAUAACUUUAUUCCCACUUUACUUCAACAAUUAGAGGAAUUGUUCGUUUGGGCCCACUCCAUCCUGAGUUUCACAGUUUUGUCUCAUUGGUGAACGAAAAACUUCUCGGAAGAUCACCCAUCAUAGGAUUUCACUCAAGUGAACACACUUAACUUCAGAAUUCUUCUAACUUUCCAGGCCAUUCCACCAAAAUAUAC
rnacentral:misc_RNA from 1 species